rnacentral:tRNA from 1 species
GGGGAUGUAGCUCAGUGGUAGUAACUUGCCUUUCAUGCAGAAGGCCUUGGAUUCUAUUCCCAGCAUCACCG